rnacentral:rRNA from 1 species
CCUACGGGAGGCAGCAGUAGGGAAUAUUGCUCAAUGGGGGAAACCCUGAAGCAGCAACGCCGCGUGGAGGAUGAAGGUUUUCUGAGUGGAAACUCCUUUUGGUAGAGAAGAUAAUGACGGUAUCUAACGAAUAAGCACCGGCUAACUCCGUACCAGCAGCCGCGGUAAUAAGGAGGGUGCAAGCGUUACUCGGAAUCACGGGGCGUAAAGAGCGCGUAGGCGGGAUAGCAAGUCAGAUGUGAAAUCCUAUGGCUGAACCAUAGAACUGCAUGUGAAACUGGUAUUCUAGAGUAUGGGAGAGGUAGGUGGAAUUCGUGGUGUAGGGGUAAAAUCCGUAGAGAUCAAGAGGAAGACUGAUUGCGAAGGCGACCUGCUAGAACAUAACUGACGCUGAUGCGCGAAAGCGUGGGGAGCAAACAGGAUUAGAUACCCGGGUAGUC